AUCGGCGUAACAAUGGAACCGGAGUCCAUGGUGACGAAUGAUCUGACCAAGAGGAAGCAUGUACAGAAUGAAGAGGAGUGGACCAAGCACAGAACCCUGGGGGACACCGUGGAUGAGAGGAGUAGUGGCUGAUUGACAGUUGUUGAUGGCGAUGAAUUGAUGUCUGUCGGAGAGAUAGGAUCCAAGCCAGGAGAGGGCGGUGCCAGUGAUGCCAAGGGUGGAUUGGAGACUGGAGAGGAGAAUGGAGUGAUUGAUCGUGUCAAAGGCAGCCAUUAAAUCCAAAGAGGAGGCAAGACAACUCUUUAUAGAGUUUCACUCCUCUCCAAUGGGGGGACAUACGGGCAUCCUGAAAACUUGCACAGCAAUAUCCUCCAGAUUUUACUGGCUUGGCAUGUCAGUGGACAUUAACAACUGGGUCUUGGAAUGUGAUAAAUGCCGGAUGUUUGAAAAACCUUUGACUGCUGCCCAGCCAUUACAGUGUAUACAGGUGUCUGCUGUCUGGGAGCUAAUUGGUAUUGACCUGACCAGACCUCUCCCAAAAACUGUGGAUGGCUUCCAGUACAUUUUAACA